rnacentral:rRNA from 1 species
UGAGGAAUCUGUCCAACGGCGGGGGAUAGCCGGCCCAACGGCCGGGUAAUACCGCGUACGACCUUCGAGGGGCAUCCCUUGAUGGUGAAAGCCGCAAGGCGCCGAUGGAGAACUUCGCGGCCUAUCAGCUAGUUGGUGAGGUCAUGGCUCACCAAGGCGACGACGGGUAGCUGGUCUGAGAGGAUGGCCAGCCACAUUGGGACUGAGACACGGCCCAGACUCCUACGGGAGCAG